rnacentral:misc_RNA from 1 species
UCGCAAAAGKGCACGAGAGGKGUGUGGUDUGUGANGUGUGGUGGCUGCGGCGUUUGCAACAACUUCCAUGCUUUCAGACCUCUUCAGUUGUGCGGCAAGGCUUGUAUCGCCUUGAGCGUAUUGUGGGUUUUCUGUGUUGGCUACCUAAUCAAUGGUAUCGGUUGGAUUGAUCAAUGUUUCAUUUCGUCUACCGUCGCAUUCGCGGCGUGAGAUGAACCUUGAUGCGGUCUCUUUGAUCCACCUCGUCGAAGCGCAUGCUUUGGCGUUGUGGCACAUUGAGCAUUGCUUGGUCUCUUGUAUACGGAACAUAUAGUGGGCAUGGAUCUAACGAUUCUCGUUUGCCCUCAUAUUAGCGUAACGCUUCUCUUACACGACUUGCUCCACGUUUUAGCUCGUACGGACGUGGUGCUAUGUCGAAGAGGAAUGCUACCUGGKUGAUCCUGCCAGUAGUCAUAWGMUUGUCU